ACGCUCGACACCUACGGGAGCAGCAGUGGGGAAUAUUGGGCAAUGGGCGCAAGCCUGACCCAGCAACGCCGCGUGAAGGAAGAAGGCUUUCGGGUUGUAAACUUCUUUUGUCAGGGACGAAGCAAGUGACGGUACCUGACGAAUAAGCUCCGGCUAACUACGUGCCAGCAGCCGCGGUAAUCUGAGCGGGCUGGCAAGGC
rnacentral:rRNA from 1 species